CAGGCCGGGGCGCAGCCCUUCCCUUCCGCCUCCCGCCGUGGAGAAAGUCUAGAAAUUCUCGCUCCUCGGUUCAAAGAGGGAAACUGAGCUGGCUCAGAGCAAGCGGCGUCCGCCCGGUCUUCGCAGGCGCCGCUCGCGCCAGGUGCACUUUGCAGAUCCCUGAUGAACCCAGAGAACCCUCCGCCAUAUCCGGGCCCAGGCCCCACAGCUCCUUACCCACCUUAUGCACAGCAACCCAUGGGACCUAUGGCAGGCCCCUAUCCACCUCCCCCUCCUCAAGGGUACCCUUAUCAAGGAUAUCCACAGUACGGCUGGCAGGGCGCACCUCAGGAGCCUCCUAAGACCACAGUGUACGUGAUAGAACGGGAAGAGAAGACGGAUCCGAGUAGCGGCUGCCAGGCCCUCCUGGCUGCGUGCUGGGCUGCGCUCUGCUGCUGCUGCCUCCUGCAUGGCCUGGACUGAGCUGCCAAGAUCCCAGUGCCCUGCAGCCCUCCCUGUCACUGCAAUAAACGGGACUUGUACAAACUCAAGUCUUUGCUUCUUUAAAACAAAGUUGAUCAAUAGACUUUAAAUUCUUAGCACCUAUUGAGAGGAGAAACAGUGUCUAAUUUGCCUUUCCUGCUUUUUAAAUUUAAAUUAUUAUUGUAAAGGUGAUGAGUACAUUUCUUUUUGAACAGUGUCAUCCCCCCUUCAUUUUCUCCCAGGAGUUUCCCUCUCU